GAUGAACGCUGGCGGCGUGCCUAAUACAUGCAAGCCGAGCGAACAGAUGAGGAGCUUGCUCCUCUGACGUUAGCGGCGGACGGGUGAGUAACACGUGGAUAACCUACCUAUAAGACUGGGAUAACUUCGGGAAACCGGAGCUAAUACCGGAUAAUAUAUUGAACCGCAUGGUUCAAUAGUGAAAGACGGUUUUGCUGUCACUUAUAGAUGGAUCCGCGCCGCAUUAGCUAGUUGGUAAGGUAACGGCUUACCAAGGCAACGAUGCGUAGCCGACCUGAGAGGGUGAUCGGCCACACUGGAACUGGGACACGGUCCAGACUCCUACGGGAGGCAGCAGUAGGGAAUCUUCCGCAAUGGGCGAAAGCCUGACGGAGCAACGCCGCGUGAGUGAUGAAGGUCUUCGGAUCGUAAAACUCUGUUAUUAGGGAAGAACAAAUGUGUAAGUAACUAUGCACGUCUUGACGGUACCUAAUCAGAAAGCCACGGCUAACUACGUG
rnacentral:rRNA from 1 species